GCCGUUUGCUGUUGCGGUCAUUGUGCUACACCUCACUACUUCAUUCUGCUUCGUGCCAGUAGCUGUUUUCAUUCUUGGAGUUGCAACUGGACUUGAAAUGAUGAGCUGUAGAAUGCUUUUAAAAAUGUGUUGUCGGGGAAGCUUUGAGGCUUAUAUUCAUGGAGAUUUUUGUUAAAAGGAAGGGUCUCAAACUAAACUCUAUUUCUGUCAUGUACUACGUUAGUCCCUACAGGCAUGUAUUUUCAUCUGCCAAAGUUCAAUUGUUAUCAUUAUUUCUUUCACCAUUUGAUGUUUGUAUACAGAACCUUUUUACCAUGUGAACGGAAUCAUAGUUCUUGUGUAGUGCUCUUUGCUUGUUCAUCUGUGGAUUUUUCUAGAGAAGCCAAAGAUGGAUGCCCAAGGGACAUGGAGCUUUCAACCUGUUAUCCUGACACUCAACUCUCUCUGUACUUUUGCUCUCAAUCUAUCAGUUUUUCUUGUGAUCUCGCAUACAAGUGCUUUGGCAAUUCAUGUUACUGGAGUUGUCAAGGAUUGGGUGGUUACUAUCAGCCCUUCUGUUUGCCGAUACAAUGCUGACAAUGAUAAAUCUGUUUGGUUAUGGCAUUGCCAUUACAGGUGUAGCACCACAAGUUGAAAAAGGAAGCUUCUCGAGGCUCCUCUGAUGAGUCUCAACAAGCUGAAUCUACGCCAUUAACUUCAUCCUCAAUUACUGAAGGUAGAUAAAUAGAAAGCGGUCUCACAGUUUAGUCCGAGGGAUGCAAGUUUAGUUGUACAAAUUGUUCAAUCUGACUUUGCCCUCAAAGUAUAAGGAGUUUGAAGUAAGAUUUGUGGUACACAUUCUUUGACCCUGAGAAGCCAUCGGGUAUGCAGAAUUUUGAUUUGAUAAGGCUCAUUUUGUAUGUUCUUUGCUUUUUUAUGUUGAUUGUUAC